GAGGAGGGCAAGCAGGAGGAGAAGCAACCAGUUUGCAAUAUUCUAGUCAUGGAAAUUGGCUGGAAAACCAGGAAAUCCAACCACAUAGCCAUUCCUUCAGCCUGAAGGUCCUCUAGCCUGUUGAAAAAGACACUGGUGCUGGGACAUCUAUACAGUCUGCAGUGUUUCCUGUACUGCCUUCCAGACGGUUACAAGGAGGUGGAAAAGUUAUUGCAGAAAUUUGGGGGAACUGAAGGUGAUGGAACUGCAUUGCUUGUGAGAAAACAGCUGAUGCACGUGGUAAGAGUAGAACACCGUAAAUGAGUUAGCAAAGCUGGGGGUUAAAUGGUGAAGAUUGUUCCUGAC